rfam:Murray Valley encephalitis virus isolate OR156-P0, complete genome
AUGUCUAAAAAACCAGGAGGACCCGGGAAGCCCCGGGUCGUCAAUAUG